GAGCAGGGGGCAGAGUGGCACAGAGAGGGUGAGCAGGGAGCGUUUCAGUGUUUUUCUCUGGGCAGGCUGAUGGUGCCUUUCUCUGGGCCUAAAAUUCCUAAAAGUUUGGUAUUUGAUUUUUUAAAAGUUCUUCCUAGUUUCUGACCCCCACACACCCACCCCCUCCAGUCCCUGGGCCCCAGUUCCUGAGACUGUGUCAGAUCCCAGCCUCUUGCCUCUGCCCAUCGGGCCCAGCCCGGGAUGCCCUGCUGUCCUGCUGUCCUUGACGUGGCGUUGCGGGGCAGGUCUGUUCCAGGAGAAGCCCCACAGCCUGCAGAACAACAUCCGGACGUCCCUGGAGAAGAAGAGGCGAGGCUCGGGGGUUCCCUGGGCCAGCCGGCCUGAGGCCACCCUGCAGGAUUUCCUGGGCACCGUGUACCUCUCUAAAGUGAAGAGUCAAGGCCACCCCGCUGUCUACAGGCUCUCCCUCAAUGCCAGCCUGCCUGCUCCUUGGCAGGCUGUGUCACCUGGGGAUGGAGAGGUGCCCUCCUUCCAGGUGUAUAGAGCGCCUUUUGGUAACUUCACCAAGAAGCUGACCGCUUGUAUGUCUACAGUAGGGCUGCUCCAGGCGGCGAGCCCCUCCCGCAAGUGGAUGCUGACGACCUUGGCCUGUGAUGCCAAGCGGGGCUGGAAGUUUGACUUCAGCUUCUACGUGGCCACCAAGGAGCAGCAGCACACCCGGUAACAAAGCCUGGCAGACAAGCCCGUGCCCAUCAGCCCGGCUGCUUCUUUUCUCUCUUUUCUCUCUCUUUUC